CGGGUGAGUAACACGUAAGUAACCUACCUUUAAGACGAGGAUAACAAUCGGAAACGGUUGCUAAGACUGGAUAGGAAACAGAAAGGCAUCUUUUUGUUUUUAAAAGACCUUCUUCGGAGGGUAUGCUUAAAGAGGGGCUUGCGCCACAUUAGUUAGUUGGUGAGGUAAAGGCUUACCAAGAUUAUGAUGUGUAGCUGGACUGAGAGGUUGAACAGCCACAUUGGGACUGAGACACGGCCCAAACUCCUACGGGAGGCAGCAGUAGGGAAUUUUCGGCAAUGGAGGAAACUCUGACCGAGCGACGCCGCGUGAACGAUGAAGUAUUUCGGUAUGUAAAGUUCUUUUAUUGAAGAAGAAAAAAUAGUGGAAAAACUAUCUUGACGUUAUUCAAUGAAUAAGCCCCGGCUAACUAUGUGCCAGCAGCCGCGGUAAGACAUAGGGGGCGAGCGUUAUCCGGAAUUAUUGGGCGUAAAGGGUGCGUAGGCGGUUAGAUAAGUCUAUAAUUUAAUUUCAGUGCUUAACGCUGUCUUGUUAUAGAAACUGUCUUGACUAGAGUGAGAUAGAGGCAAGCGGAAUUCCAUGUGUAGCGGUAAAAUGUGUAAAUAUAUGGAGGAACACCAGAAGCGUAGGCGGCUUGCUGGGUCUUUACUGACGCUGAGGCACGAAAGCGUGGGGAGCAAACAGGAUUAGAUACCCUGGUAGUCCACGCUGUAAACGAUGAGUACUAAGUGUCGGGGUAACUCGGUACUGAAGUUAACACAUUAAGUACUCCGCCUGAGUAGUACGUACGCAAGUAUGAAACUUAAAGGAAUUGACGGGACUCCGCACAAGCGGUGGAUCAUGUUGUUUAAUUCGAAGAUACACGAAAAACCUUACCAGGUCUUGACAUACUCUGCAAAGCUAUAGAAAUAUAGUGGAGGUUAUCAGGGAUACAGGUGGUGCAUGGUUGUCGUCAGUUCGUGUCGUGAGAUGUUAGGUUAAGUCCUAAAACGAACGCAACCCCUGUCGCUAGUUGCCAGCACGUAAUGGUGGGGACUUUAGCGAGACUGCCAAUUAAACAUUGGAGGAAGGUGGGGAUAACGUCAAAUCAUCAUGCCCCUUAUGAUCUGGGCUACAAACGUGAUACAAUGGCUAUUACAAAGAGUAGCUGAAACGCGAGUUUUUAGCCAAUCUCAAAAAGGUAGUCUCAGUACGGAUUGAAGUCUGCAACUCGACUUCAUGAAGCUGGAAUCGCUAGUAAUCGCGAAUCAGCAUGUCGCGGUGAAUACGUUCUCGGGGUUUGUACACACCGCCCGUCAAACCACGAAAGUUAGCAAUACCCGAAAGCAGUGGCUUAACUUCGCAAGAAGAGGGAGCUGUCUAAGGUAGGGUUGAUGAUUGGGGUUAAGUCGUAACAAGGUAUCCUUACCGGAAGGUGAGGAUGGAUCACCUCCUUUCUAA
rnacentral:rRNA from 1 species